rnacentral:lncRNA from 1 species
CAACAAAAGCACCAUGAAAAAGGCUUACGGAGACCUUCCUGGAGGAAGAAUGGACCCAGUUCUAUAGCUGCUGAAGAGUUGCAGAGCUGCAGAGCUAUUGAGGCGAACUAGCUUUCAGAGUUAAGUUGAAGCACAGAGGUGAAGGGUAAGGUAGCUUCCAGAAGGACAGCAUGAUGAAUGGACAGAUAGCAGCUCAGGUAGACCACAUCUCAGAAGGGAGUGUGCACAGGUGAAAGCCCUGGGAAAGGCAGGAGGUUUCUGUCCCUGCUACACACACCAGAUGAGAAGACAGGUUGCUGGAGGCAAUCACUACCUCAGCCUUCAGUGUCCUCCUGUAUCUGGGGUCCAGAUCAUCAAAGAUCUCCUUCUUCCACCCAUGGUGCUACUGCCUACUCCCGUUUGCUCCAGGCAACACUAAAGUUAAGAUGCAGAUAAUUCAUCUGGUGAAGACUUGAAAUUGAUGAAGGAUGGAAGAAACUAUAAUCAGAGUCCCUUGCCAGUAAUAAAUGGU